rnacentral:rRNA from 1 species
GCGCGAAAACUUUACAAUGCCGGCAACGGCGAUAAGGGGACCUCGAGUGCCAGGUUACAAAUCUGGCUGUCGUGAUGCUUAGAAAGCAUUGCAUAGCAAGGGCCGGGCAAGACCGGUGCCAGCCGCCGCGGUAACACCGGCGGCUCGAGUGGUAACCGUUAUUAUUGGGUCUAAAGGGUCUGUAGCCGGCCGGAUAAGUCUCUUGGGAAAUCCAGCAGCUUAACUGUUGGGCUUUCAGGAGAUACUGUCUGGCUCGAGGCCGGGAGAGGUGAGAGGUACUUCAGGGGUAGGGGUGAAAUCUUGUAAUCCUUGAAGGACCACCAGUGGCGAAGGCGUCUCACCAGAACGGACCUGACGGCAAGGGACGAAAGCUAGGGGCACGAACC